UCCGAGUGCAGUGGUGUUUCCAAAUUAUUGAUCACAACCAGUUACAGAUUCCUUUGUUCCUUCUCCACUCCCACUGCUUCACUUGA
rnacentral:Y_RNA from 1 species